rnacentral:rRNA from 1 species
UACGUAGGGUGCGAGCGUUGUCCGGAAUUACUGGGCGUAAAGAGCUCGUAGGUGGUUUGUCGCGUUGUCCGUGAAAACUCACAGCUCAACUGUGGGCGUGCGGGCGAUACGGGCAGACUGGAGUACUGCAGGGGAGACUGGAAUUCCUGGUGUAGCGGUGGAAUGCGCAGAUAUCAGGAGGAACACCGGUGGCGAAGGCGGGUCUCUGGGCAGUAACUGACGCUGAGGAGCGAAAGCAUGGGGAGCGAACAGG